rnacentral:rRNA from 1 species
CCGCAGAUGGCUCAUUAAAUCAGACAUAAUUCAUUGGAUGUUGACAAAUUACAUGGAUAACUGUGGUAAUUCUAGAGCUAAUACAUGCCGAAAAGUUUCACUCUUUGAGUGGAGCGCAUUUAUUAGACCAAGACCAAAGGUGCUUGCACCUCUCGGUGGUGACUCUGAAUAACUAUAGCUGAUCGCAUGGCCUAGUGCCGGCGACAUAUCCUUCGAGUGUCUGCCCUAUCAACUUUCGAUGGUAAGGUAUUGGCUUACCAUGGUGUUAACGGGUAACGGGGAAUCAGGGUUCGAUUCCGGAGAGGGAGCCUGAGAGACGGCUACCACAUCCAAGGAAGGCAGCAGGCGCGCAAAUUACCCAAUCUCAGAACGAGGAGGUAGUGACGAAAAAUAACGAUAUGGGUUUCGCUUAUGCGUGCUCAUAAUCGGAAUGAGUACAGUUUAAAUCCUUUAACGAGGAUCAAUUGGAGGGCAAGUCUGGUGCCAGCAGCCGCGGUAAUUCCAGCUCCAAUAGCGUAUAUUAAAGUUGCUGCGUUUAAAACGCUCCUAGUCGAACUUCAGCCCGUAUCUGUUGGUCCACUUUGUUGGUGGUUACUGGCAGAUCGGGCACUAUACCGCGUUGUCCUGUGGUGCUCUUUAUUGAGUGUUGCAGGCGAUCGGUACGUUUACCUUGAAAAAAUUAGAGUGCUCAAAGCAGGCCAAUAAGCCUGAAUAUUGUAGCAUGGAAUAAUGGAAUAGGACUUUGGUUCUAUUUUGUUGGUCUUCGGAACCAAGGUAAUGGUAAAUAGGGACAGUCGGGGGCAUUAGUACUGCGACGCUAGAGGUGAAAUUCUUGGACCGUCGCAAGACUAACAAGAGCGAAAGCAUUUGCCAAGGAUGUCUCCAUUGACCAAGAGCUAAAGUUAGAGGAUCGAAGGCGAUCAGAUACCGCCCUAGUUCUAACCAUAAACGAUGCCAACCAGCAAUCGGUUAGAGUUURUUAAUGGCUCGGCCGGCGGCUUCCGGGAAACCAAAGUUUUUCGGUUACGGGGGAAGUAUGGUUGCAAAGCUGAAACUUAAAGGAAUUGACGGAAGGGCACCACCAGGAGUGGAGCCUGCGGCUUAAUUUGACUCAACACGGGGAAACUCACCCGGCCCGGACACUGGAAGGAUUGACAGAUUGAGAGCUCUUUCUUGAUUCAGUGGGUGGUGGUGCAUGGCCGUUCUUAGUUGGUGGAGUGAUUUGUCUGGUUAAUUCCGAUAACGAACGAGACUCUAGCCUACUAAAUAGACGCCGUCAUCUUUUGCUGGCGGCGAGCUUCUUAGAGGAACAAGCGGCGUUUCAGCCGCAUGAAAAAGAGCAAUAACAGGUCUGUGAUGCCCUUAGAUGUCCGGGGCCGCACGCGCGCUACACUGAAAAGAUCAACGCGCAUGCCAUUUCCUACUCUGAAAAGAGCGGGGAACCGAGUGAACCAUUUUCGUGAUUGGGAUUGGGGAUUGUAAUUAUUCUCCAUGAACGAGGAAUUCCCAGUAAGCGCAAGUCAUCAGCUUGCGUUGAUUACGUCCCUGCCCUUUGUACACACCGCCCGUCGCUACUACCGAUUGGAUGUUUUAGUGAGAUCUUCGGACUCGCCAAUGUAGCGACUCUCGUGGUCGCCGCAUUGUUGUGAGAAAGAUGAUCAAACUUGAGCAUCUAGAGGAAGUAAAAGUCGUAACAAGG